CAGACCGCCAGCUAAGGUCCCAAAGUCAUGGUUAAGUGGGAAACGAUGUGGGAAGGCCCAGACAGCCAGGAUGUUGGCUUAGAAGCAGCCAUCAUUUAAAGAAAGCGUAAUAGCUCACUGGUCGAGUCGGCCUGCGCGGAAGAUGUAACGGGGCUAAACCAUGCACCGAAGCUGCGGCAGCGACGCUUAUGCGUUGUUGGGUAGGGGAGCGUUCUGUAAGCCUGUGAAGGUGUGCUGUGAGGCAUGCUGGAGGUAUCAGAAGUGCGAAUGCUGACAUAAGUAACGAUAAAGCGGGUGAAAAGCCCGCUCGCCGGAAGACCAAGGGUUCCUGUCCAACGUUAAUCGGGGCAGGGUGAGUCGACCCCUAAGGCGAGGCCGAAAGGCGUAGUCGAUGGGAAACAGGUUAAUAUUCCUGUACUUGGUGUUACUGCGAAGGGGGGACGGAGAAGGCUAUGUUGGCCGGGCGACGGUUGUCCCGGUUUAAGCGUGUAGGCUGGUUUUCCAGGCAAAUCCGGAAAAUCAAGGCUGAGGCGUGAUGACGAGGCACUACGGUGCUGAAGCAACAAAUGCCCUGCUUCCAGGAAAAGCCUCUAAGCAUCAGGUAACAUCAAAUCGUACCCCAAACCGACACAGGUGGUCAGGUAGAGAAUACCAAGGCGCUUGAGAGAACUCGGGUGAAGGAACUAGGCAAAAUGGUGCCGUAACUUCGGGAGAAGGCACGCUGAUAUGUAGGUGAAGUCCCUCGCGGAUGGAGCUGAAAUCAGUCGAAGAUACCAGCUGGCUGCAACUGUUUAUUAAAAACACAGCACUGUGCAAACACGAAAGUGGACGUAUACGGUGUGACGCCUGCCCGGUGCCGGAAGGUUAAUUGAUGGGGUCAGCGCAAGCGAAGCUCUUGAUCGAAGCCCCGGUAAACGGCGGCCGUAACUAUAACGGUCCUAAGGUAGCGAAAUUCCUUGUCGGGUAAGUUCCGACCUGCACGAAUGGCGUAAUGAUGGCCAGGCUGUCUCCACCCGAGACUCAGUGAAAUUGAACUCGCUGUGAAGAUGCAGUGUACCCGCGGCAAGACGGAAAGACCCCGUGAACCUUUACUAUAGCUUGACACUGAACAUUGAGCCUUGAUGUGUAGGAUAGGUGGGAGGCUUAGAAGUGUGGACGCCAGUCUGCAUGGAGCCGACCUUGAAAUACCACCCUUUAAUGUUUGAUGUUCUAACGUUGACCCGUAAUCCGGGUUGCGGACAGUGUCUGGUGGGUAGUUUGACUGGGGCGGUCUCCUCCUAAAGAGUAACGGAGGAGCACGAAGGUUGGCUAAUCCUGGUCGGACAUCAGGAGGUUAGUGCAAUGGCAUAAGCCAGCUUGACUGCGAGCGUGACGGCGCGAGCAGGUGCGAAAGCAGGUCAUAGUGAUCCGGUGGUUCUGAAUGGAAGGGCCAUCGCUCAACGGAUAAAAGGUACUCCGGGGAUAACAGGCUGAUACCGCCCAAGAGUUCAUAUCGACGGCGGUGUUUGGCACCUCGAUGUCGGCUCAUCACAUCCUGGGGCUGAAGUAGGUCCCAAGGGUAUGGCUGUUCGCCAUUUAAAGUGGUACGCGAGCUGGGUUUAGAACGUCGUGAGACAGUUCGGUCCCUAUCUGCCGUGGGCGCUGGAGAACUGAGGGGGGCUGCUCCUAGUACGAGAGGACCGGAGUGGACGCAUCACUGGUGUUCGGGUUGUCAUGCCAAUGGCACUGCCCGGUAGCUAAAUGCGGAAGAGAUAAGUGCUGAAAGCAUCUAAGCACGAAACUUGCCCCGAGAUGAGUUCUCCCUGACUCCUUGAGAGUCCUGAAGGAACGUUGAAGACGACGACGUUGAUAGGCCGGGUGUGUAAGCGCAGCGAUGCGUUGAGCUAACCGGUACUAAUGAACCGUGAG
rnacentral:rRNA from 1 species